CCCGCCGCGGGGGGCAGCAGCCCCCCGGCCCCCUCCCACGGAGCGAGACGCUUCCUCCUCAGCGCUGGGCGGGCGGGCGGCGGUGGUUGGGCUUUUUUUAUUCCUUGUUCAAGCCCAGCUGCGCGCACACACACACACGCACACGCAAAUAAAUCGCCUAUGGGUAGCGGCUGAAGUGCAGCAUCUUGCCAGCAAAUCUGGGGUUCCUGCGCCUGCCCUCUUUCCCGCGGGGAUGGAGAGCUGAACAGCAGAAGAGGCAACACCUGGCUCUUCAUGCUGGCUGCUGACUCGAGAUGGAUGAAACCGUAUACUGGGAGAGGAAAUAUUCCCUUUGGAAAACACCUGAACAUACUCAGUGGAGAAAGCUCCUUGUGUGCAGGUUGAGAUGACAGGGACAGAAACAUCAAACCCAGCCAAAAGGGAGCCCACAUCAGCAGCGUGGCCAGGGAGACUGCAAAGAAGAGCAGGAGCAGAUACACAGCCAGGCCUUGGAGGGACUAACGAGAGGCUUUUCUGAGCAUCCAGAAUAGAUGCUGCAGCGUUUGCAAGAAACCACUGGUUUGGUUGAUGAAAACAAACAUGAAGGACAAGGCUGACACUGAAGGAAGAAAGUGGGUAGGGGGACAUUUGCUUAGCCAACCUUUUAUUUUUAUUCAAUAUUUUCCAGAUCACUCUCAGCUUUUACUAUUUUAGAAAGUUCAUAAUUCUAACGGUGCUAGGUGUAACUUAUUUUCAAGGUAAAGAACAAAGAAAAUGGAUGUUAGUGUCAUUACUGCCAUCUUCUGACUCUGUAGUACCUUGAGCAUGUUUGUCUGUGUGGACUAAUUUUCUACUGAUUCUAUUAAUUUUAGCUGUUUCCAAAGCACUGUACAGGUAUAACUCAUGUUUUACCUGGGUUACAUCACUUUUAUGUAUCAUGAUACAUUCCAAGCACUAGUCCUUGACACUGCUCACUUUUCUCAUUAAAAAACUUCCAUUCAA